rnacentral:sRNA from 1 species
UGGGAUUGUCGACAUAGCAAGACGAUUAAGUGGACUCUUCACAAAUGUCUUCACCGCAAAGUGAGACAGGGGAGAGGUCAUCAGCAAAUCUCUGUACUGCCAAGUUCCGGAGAUGGAUCUCACUGACGACAAAGUCAAACGGCGGAGGAAGAAUAAAAAUCUCACCGGAAUGAAGGACCGACGGAGCGAUAAAACUUGCGGAUAAGUGUUAAAAGGAUCUCUGACCACCAGAAAAAGAAUCGCAGAGAGAAAGCGAUAGUGGUCACCUAGUUGAGAAUGUUAUGUGAGGUUACAAAAUGCUUGCAAAAAGAGAAACAAGGACCAAAGAGUGAAAUCUACUUUCAUAUUUGAGACCUCGUAAAUGGUGCUCGAAAGUUUUUUUUGUUUUUCUUAACCUUAGGUUUUACAUAUAACGGAAUAUCACGUCACUCAAAACAAAUAUUUCCCAAUAUACAGUAGUUAAAGUAAGAGUAAAUUUGUAAUUAAAAACAAGAUUUGGACAAUAUUUUAAAACAAUGUCACAUCUUUG